rnacentral:rRNA from 1 species
UAAGGAAUAUUGGUCAAUGGAGGCAACUCUGAACCAGCCAUGCCGCGUGCAGGAAGACGGCCUUCUGGGUUGUAAACUGCUUUUAUACGGGAAUAACCGUACGUUUUCUAACGUAUCUGCAAGUACCGUAAGAAUAAGGAUCGGCUAACUCCGUGCCAGCAGCCGCGGUAAUACGGAGGAUCCGAGCGUUAUCCGGAUUUAUUGGGUUUAAAGGGUGCGUAGGCGGUCUUUUAAGUCAGGGGUGAAAGACGGUGGCUCAACCAUCGCAGUGCCUUUGAUACUGAUAGGCUUGAAUGAACUAGAGGUAGGCGGAAUGUGACAAGUAGCGGUGAAAUGCAUAGAUAUUACACAGAACACCGAUUGCGAAGGCAGCUCUCUAAGCUACAUCUGACGCUGAGGCACGAAAGCGUGGGGAUCAAACA